rnacentral:rRNA from 1 species
GGAGGGUGCAAGCGUUAUCCGGAUUCACUGGGUUUAAAGGGUGCGUAGGUGGGUUGGUAAGUCCGUGGUGAAAUCUCCGAGCUUAACUCGGAAACUGCCGUGGAUACUAUCAAUCUUGAAUAUCGUGGAGGUAAGCGGAAUAUGUCAUGUAGCGGUGAAAUGCUUAGAUAUGACAUAGAACACCGAUAGCGGAGGCAGCUUACUACGCGAUUAUUGACACUGAGGCACGAAAGCGUGGGGAUCAAACAGGAUUAGAUACCCUGGUAGUCCACGCCCUAAACGAUGGAUACUCGACAUACGCGAUACACUGUGUGUGUCUGAGCGAAAGCAUUAAGUAUCCCACCUGGGAAGUACGACCGCAAGGUUGAA